CGGACGGGUGAGUAACACGUGGAUAACCUACCUAUAAGACUGGGACAACUUCGGGAAACCGGAGCUAAUACCGGAUAAUAUAUUGAACCGCAUGGUUCAAUAGUGAAAGACGGUUUUGCUGUCACUUAUAGAUGGAUCCGCGCCGCAUUAGCUAGUUGGUAAGGUAACGGCUUACCAAGGCGACGAUGCGUAGCCGACCUGAGAGGGUGAUCGGCCACACUGGAACUGAGACACGGCCCAG
rnacentral:rRNA from 1 species